rnacentral:rRNA from 1 species
UACGUAGGGUGCAAGCGUUGUCCGGAAUUAUUGGGCGUAAAGAGCUCGUAGGCGGUCUGUUGCGUCGGCUGUGAAAACCCGGGGCUCAACUCCGGGCCUGCAGCCGAUACGGGCAGACUAGAGUUCGGUAGGGGAGACUGGAAUUCCUGGUGUAGCGGUGAAAUGCGCAGAUAUCAGGAGGAACACCAAUGGCGAAGGCAGCUCGCUGGGACGGUACUGACGCUGAGACGCGAAAGCGUGGGGAGCAAACAGG